AGUGAACGCUGGCGGUAGGCCUAACACAUGCCAGUCGAACGGCAGCACAGUAAGAGCUUGCUCUUACGGGUGGCGAGUGGCGGACGGGUGAGGAAUACAUCGGAAUCUACUUUUUCGUGGGGGAUAACGUAGGGAAACUUACGCUAAUACCGCAUACGACCUACGGGUGAAAGCAGGGGAUCUUCGGACCUUGCGCGAUUGAAUGAGCCGAUGUCGGAUUAGCUAGUUGGCGGGGUAAAGGCCCACCAAGGCGACGAUCCGUAGCUGGUCUGAGAGGAUGAUCAGCCACACUGGAACUGAGACACGGUCCAGACUCCUACGGGAGGCAGCAGUGGGGAAUAUUGGACAAUGGGCGCAAGCCUGAUCCAGCCAUACCGCGUGGGUGAAGAAGGCCUUCGGGUUGUAAAGCCCUUUUGUUGGGAAAGAAAAGCAGCAGGUUAAUACCCCGCUGUUCUGACGGUACCCAAAGAAUAAGCACCGGGUAACUUCGUG
rnacentral:rRNA from 1 species